CUCUCCUCUCCACUCCUCUCCUCUCCUCUCCUAGCUUCACUUUUUUUUCCAUUUUUUUUUUCAAUUCAGGCCAAAGCCAAACACCAAAGGAGUAAAUUUCCCUUCCUUUAAUAAUGCUGAUUUAGGGACCAUCGUGUCAUCUGAGUCCUCCUACAAGUCUGCUUCACACGCCAUACCAGCAUUGCUGUUUCGGAGCCCGCCGUCCUGAGAACCACUAAAUGGACAUGCAGCAAUCAGCAGUAGUUGCUUUUCUUUUUUGUUUUAUUUUAUUUUAUUUUAUUUUAUUUUAUUUCAUUUCAUUUUUCUUAUUACUAUUUUUUUUAAUUCUCAGUAGCCAAAGCAGCUCAUGGUCUCUUACUGCACGAUGACUUUAAACUUUCUGGGAUGUGAUUGCAUUAGAGCAGUGCCUGUUCCGGAGUCCAUCCGAGGAAAUGGCAAGGCUCCCGGCGGAAUUUGGCUAGCCAUCCCGCGAAGCCCCGGAGGCCAGGGGUGGUGCGGGAGAGGCUGGUGCUAACGAAAGCAUUCUGGUUGGCAGCAAAUGUAUUUAUUUUCCAGACUUUGCAAACCGAUCUGUGUCUGCGCUCAUUCAUUCAGUGCAUGCUCUCCUCAACAGCCGCUGCACAGCGUUCUGUUAGUGUUCACUGUUGACCGUGUGUCUACAUUUAAGUGUGUGUUUUAUGUGUGUGUCUCUGGCUAGGCCUCCUCCAUCCUUAUUUUUUUCCUUUUUUUUUUCUUUUCUUCUUCCUUUCUUUGAUUUCUUUCCGUUCAGUUGGUUUGUUUUGCUUUCCUUCUUGUUUCGUUUUAUAUAGUUUAAUGGCAAGUAUUUCCAUUAGAGCUUUUUGAUUGAUGCUGUGUUUGUAACUUUUUUUUUUGAUUAUUAUUUUUAUAUAUAUCUUCUUUCCCUACCUUUCCCUUUUUCCACACUAUAUAUAAAUAUAUAUAUAUAUAUAAAAAAAAUCUUUUCUUCUUUUGUCAUUCAAUCAAAUUCCAACAAAACCAACCAAGAGCCAGUCAAAUCCACCACAGUCUCGCGCUGAGCUAGGAAAAAAGUUCACGUAAUGACAUGAAAGUGGAGAAUACAGUCCCCCAGGCCGGCAGCAGCUGAAUGGGCCACAUUUAGAAAAAAAAAAAAAAAAAAAAAAAAAAAA